CCUACGGGAGGCUGCAGUGAGGAAUAUUGGUCAAUGGCCGGAAGGCUGAACCAGCCAUGCCGCGUGAAGGUCAGUGCCCUAUGGGCGUUAAACUUCUUUUGUGCGGGAGCAAUAAUGGUCACGUGUGGCCAGACGAGAGUACCGUACGAAUAAGCAUCGGCUAACUCCGUGCCAGCAGCCGCGGUAAUACGGGGGAUGCAAGCGUUAUCCGGAUUUAUUGGGUUUAAAGGGUGCGUAGGCUGUGGGGUAAGUGAGCGGUGAAAUGCCCCCGCUCAACGGGGUGAAGUGCCAUUGAUACUGCCUGGCUGGAAUGCGGAUGCCGUGGGAGGAAUGUGUGGUGUAGCGGUGAAAUGCAUAGAUAUCACACAGAACACCGAUUGCGAAGGCAUCUCACGAAUCCGCGAUUGACGCUGAUGCACGAAAGCGUGGGUAUCAAACAGGAUUAGAUACCCUUGUAGUC
rnacentral:rRNA from 1 species